rnacentral:lncRNA from 1 species
AUUCAGUGGUGGACAUGCUCAAGCAGGGUGCGCCCAGGCCUGGGACUAGGAGAGUAGGUUGGAGUCCCAGCUCUUCUAACUUGCUGUGUGUGUCUGACAAACUCUUCUCUGAGCCUGAAUCUCAAAGAGGAAGACACAUCCUUACUCAGCAAUUUGAAACUGGGGUGAUGUGCAUGAAUUAACAUGGAGAGAUCCCCAAGACAUUCUUUCAGAAUCGCAGAGUACAUUCCUUUUUAAAAUAAUAACAUGGUUUUGUGUUUACCUCUACAUGUAUGUAAAUGCGUAGAUAAAAGUCUGGAAGCUAAACAGCCAACAAGAAGCAGAGGUUGUCACUGAAGAGGAAAGGAACAUUGGAAUUGGUGGUGGGGAAGUGUUUUUCUAUGUUUUUUUUUUUCUUUCUUUCUUUUUACUUUAAAUUCUGGGAUACAUUUGCAGAACGUGCAGGUUUGUUGCAUAGGUAUACAUGUGCCGUGGUGGUUUGCUGCACCCAUCAACCUGUCAUCUAGGUUUUAAGCCCCACAUGCAUUAGGUAUUUGUCCUAAUGCUCUCCCUCCCCUUUCCCCCCAUCCCCCAACAGGCCCUGGUGUGUGAUGUUUCUCUCGCUGUUUUUUUCUUUCUUAACUAGAAUGCAUUGUUUUUAUUUAUGGAACUAAAAUAAUGAUAAUAAAUGAGGGAAUUGGAAUAUAUGGUUAUCAAGUGUUGCUCCUUCUGAACAUUUUAUUAUGAAAAUGUCCAAAUACACAGCAAAAUUUAAAGACUUUGGCGACAAAAUACCUACUCUCACCACUUACAUUCUACCAUUGACAUUUUACUUGCUUUAACCAUGUUUGUUCAUCUAUCUGUCUAUCAAUUCAUCUUUUAAGAUGCAUUUUAAAGAAAUUACCUCAACACACAUAUUAUUAACUGGAGUUCAAUUUCAAUAUUUGUUUACAGUAAUUUUCUUUUAAUGUAAAUUUACAGGCAAAGGGCAAAAGAUUACGUGUUCAUUUGCUGAGUUUUUACAAAUGCAUAUAUAUUUAUGUAACUUAAACCCCAUUAGGAGAUACAUUUUUAUCACUCUAGAAAGUUCCCUCUUGUCCUACUAUAUAUAUAUAUAUAUACACACACACAUUUUUGUUUUUGAGAGCAGGUCUCGCUAUGCUGCCCAGGCUGGCCUUGAACUCCUGAUUUCAGGUGAUCCUCCCACCCCAGCCUCCCAAGUAGCUGGGACUACAGGCCUCUAUGGUGUAUUUUAAUUGCUGACAUCCUAUGGGUCAACACUAAGCACAGAGCCAGGUAUAUAGUAAAUGCUCAAUAAUGUUGGUUGAAGUAAGGAAUGAGUCUAGGAAUGAAUGUGCAGGUGGCUUGCUCCCCUAAGGGCAGGACCAUGUCUUCUUCUUUUGCAAUCACCAUGGAAUUGAUACACAUCAAAUGCUUAAUAAAGGCUUAUUGAUUGUGCCUGGGCAGGGUGGCUCACACCUGUAAUCCUAGCACUUUGGGAGUCUGAGGUGGGAGGAUUGCUUGAGCCCAGGAGUUUGAGACCGACCUACACAACAAAGUGAGACCCCAUCUGUACAAAAAUAAUAAUAAUAAUUUAAAAAUUAGCCAAGCAUGGUGAUGCAUGCCUAUUGUCCCAUCUACAUGGGUGGCUAAGGCAGGAGGAUUGCUUGAGCCCAGGAGGUCGAGGUAACAGUGAGUUGUGUUCACCCCAUUGCACUCCAGCCUGGAUGACAGCACGAGAUGGUCUCAAAAACAAAAACAAAACAACAACAAUGACAAAAAAACAAAACAACAACAAACAAAAACAAAAACAAACCUUUGGUGAUUGUAUUAGUUAUAUACUGCCGUGUAACAGAUUACCCAAAAUUUAGCAACUUAAAACUGUGUAAUUAUACAGAAGAAGCAGGAUUGAGAUUUAAAAAAUUGUAACUAUUAAAAAAAAUAAAGACAGGGUCUCACUAUGUCGCCCAGGCUGGUCGGGAACUCCUGGCCUCAGGCAAUCCUCCCACCUUAGCCUCGCAAACUGCUGGGAUUACAAGUGUGAGCCACUGCACCUGGCCAACAUUUAUUAUCUCACACAGUUUCUGUAGGUCAGAAAUGUGGAACUAACUUAGCUUAGUGGUUUUGGCUUGGGAUCUCUUAUGAGGCUGCAGUCAACGCCUGAUGAGAAGUCAUCUGAAGGCUGGACUGGGGCUGGGGGAUCUGUUUCCAAGAUAGUUCACUCAUAUGAUUGUUGGCAGGAGGCUCUGUGCUUGGUGCUGUGCUGAGCUCCAGGGAAUGUAGGAAUGAGUCAGAACCAGCCUCCCUUUCCAAGAUUCUGUGUGUGUGUGUGUGUGUGCGUGUGUGUGUGUGUGUGCAUGUGUGUGUGUGUGUGUAAGCGUGAGUGUUGAGAGUAGGCGUGGGGUUGGAGGGGUCAGACAGAUAUGGAAACAGAUAGUGUCUAUAGAGUUCAGUAAAUACCACAAUACUGGAAUAGUGGUUUUUGAAAAAAUUGCUCUGCUGUAAUUCAUAUUCAUGACAUAACAUUUAGGACACAUCAUGCAGAGAAAGUCUCCUUCCCUCUUUAUUCUAUAGCCACACACUCCUCCAGCUCAGAAGCACAACUAUAACUUGUUUUGUGUACCUUCCAGAACUAUUCUAUACUUAAAAGACAUUUCCCGCCUCCUUAAACAAAAAUACAGCACUAUUCAAAGUGCAUUGUUCUGUACUUUGCUUUUUUUUUUUUUUUUCACUUACUCUAUCUUGGAAAUAAUUCUGUAUCGGUGCACAGAGCUACCUAGUUCUUAUUUAUGGCUGCAUGGUAUUUUAUUGCCUGCAUGAGCCACAGUUCAUUUAACCAGACCCCUAUCACUGAACAUUUGGUUUAUUUCCAAACUCUUGUUAUUAGAGACAAAGCUGCAAUGACUUUCCUUGCACAUUGGUUUCCACUCGUGUGGGUAUAAAUGCCGGAGAAAUUCUUGGCAGUGGAAUUGUUGCAUCAAAGGGCUCCUGCAUCCUGGUAGAUAUUGCUCAGUAGGGUUUAUACCAACUUGCUCUCCCACCAGGAAUGUGUGAGAGUGUCUGUUUCCUCACACCUACACCCACAUAGUGAGUGAUCACACUUUUCCAAACUUUGCCAAUCUCUUAAUUGAAAAAUGGUUGCUCGGUGUUGUGUUAAUUUGCAUUUAUCUUAUGAGUGAGGUUGAACAUCUUGUCACACGUUUUAGAGUCGUUUGUAUUUUCUGUGAACUGUCUGUAUAAAUAAUUUGCCUAUUUUUCUAUUAGGCUGUUGGUCUUAUUUACUUGUAGGUCUUUACACAUCAAACGCACUCCCCCUUUGUCUGCAUGAUAGGCUUUGAAAAUAUUUUUUUUGAGAACAGUCUGCUUUUAGAUAUAAAUGAGAAGUUGAGAAGUUUCUGCAGAUUGCAUCAUUUUCUGCACGUUGCUGCAGGGCUGCCCAGUGGCUGAGGCAUCAGGGAUACCGUGUAGGGCUCUUAAAGGUGAUGUUAGAAGCCAGGUGGGGGGCCCUGGGGACGGCGGGCAGGGAGUGGGGGGACAAGGAGGUGGAUGUUAGCUCUUGCAUUGGAUAGAAGGGGCUGCCAUAGGAGACAGUGAACUCCCCAAGGUAGGAAGUGGGCAGAACAGGCUGGCCUGGCUUUAAGACCCCUCUGCCCCUGCUCUGAAAUACCUGAGGAUAAGCAACAAGUCAAGUGGGAGGACCCACCAAGAGGGCCAUCAAUUUCUGGCCAUUUAGACCUGAUUGGGUCGUUACUGCAUCUGGAAGCUCCUAGUAACAUUUAAUAGUAAUAUAAACUCCUAGAAUGUAAACUCCAAGAGGCCAGGGUUUAAAUGCUAAAUAAAUGGUUGUGGAAUGAAUGAAUGAAUGAACGAAUGAAUUUGGUCAAAGAAUGUGAGGGGCUACUAUUUCUGAGUGGGGGUGGGGGUAGGCAGAGUUCUCUUUCUCUUCUUUCCUCUUUGAACCUACUCUCUCCUCUUCCUUCCUCUUACCCCAGCUCAGUCAGGUCUUACCAUCUCUCAUGUGGUCCUGGUUCCAGCCUCCUCCCCACUUCCCUGCUUCCAGACGCUCCUCUGUUUUCCUAUUGAUCCUCCUCUCCAGCAGCUUGAUUCGCUUCAAGAAAAUGCAGGUCCCCUGGCUUGUUCCCAGGUGGGGCACCUUUGUUCACGCCUGUAAUCUCAGCACUUUGGGAGGCUCAGGCGGGUGGAUCCCUUGAGCUCAGGAGUUCAAGACCAUCCUGGGCAACAUAAAGAGAGCACGUCUCUACAAAAAAAAUUUAGAAAUAGCCAGGCCUGGUGGCGCACACCUGUAAUUCUGCUACUUUGAAGGCUGAGAAUGGCUUGAGCCCAGGAGCUGGAGGCUGCAGUGAGCUUUGAUUGUUCCACUGCACUCCAGCUGGGUGACAGAGUGAGAACCCGCCUCAAACAACGAUAACAAAAACAACAAUAACAACAACAAACAUUAGAUAGCCUCCCAUUGCCUAUGCUUCCUAGCCUGCCCUUCAAGGGCUUCUAAUCUAUCCACUUCUCUGGUUUCCUCUCCUGCAACUCCUACCCACCCACCUCGUCCCCCACCUCACACACUCCGUGUUCCUCCAGCUAUCACAAUGGUCACUAAUUGAGCACUUUCUACAUAUACUUUUACGUGAAAUAUCUUAAGACUCAUGACAAUCUAUGGGAUCUACGAGGGUGAGGCUAUUAUCAACCCCACUUUACAGAUGAGGAAACCAAGACCCAGGGACAUUUUAGGGGCUUUCCCAAGGUCACCGAACAAGCAGAUGGCAGAGCUCGGAUUAAAAACCCUCCGACCCUCUGGCCAGGGAGCCUAAGUGCUGCACGAGUGCUAACCGGUUGCCAGUCCUAGAGCACGCCAUGCUCCUUCAAGCUCCCCUGCCUUUGCUUGUGCUGGGUCCCCAUCUGGAGGGCUCUCUCUUCUAUUGUUCACCCACCAAAAACCUUGUCCUUCAAGCUCUCGCUCAUGGCUCACCUCCCCUGUGAAACCUUUUCCAGCUUCCCCAGAAAGAGCUGGUGUCUCACUCUUUGACUUUACAAUUGAGAACUUUGUGCUAUGAUUAUCUGGGAACUGUUUUCCCCAUCAGUGUGCCCCUCAGUGGGCAGACUGUGCUGUAUCUCCCUCUAGUGUCUUGUGCAAUGCCUGGCACAGAGCAAGUGCCCUCUAAAUGCUUGGCGGCUGAAUGACAGUGGCCCCAGGACUCCUGCUCCUGAGCACAUAGUUGGGAAGGACUGCUGGGAGCUGCCAGUGGAAGUGGGGAGUGGGUAGGAAGUUUCAGGGCCCCACCUUGGGAGAGGCGUCCAUCUACGGCAGCUGGAGACAAUUUUACCACUCACGUUUGGGCCAAGACCGUCCCCAGGGGAUCCAGCUGGUGGGGAAGUUCCAUACUUGCACUACCCCUAGAAGUCCUUGGGAACCAGCUAUCCCACCCCUAGGGGGUUUUCCCCUCUUGUGAUGUCAGGAACUGAACCAACAAGGGAAGCAAUUCCUGGCAGGGUCUCUGGAUGCUACAGGAGGAAGUGUGGCCAGAGUCUCCAGACUCAGUGCCUGGGUUGCCCCAGACAGUGCCCUUUGGACCCCAGGAACUAAGGGGUUACAUGGCUUUGGUAAGAGGGUAGUUCCGGAGCGGGUGGGGACUUCCUUGGGGUGUGAGGGAAAUUACCCCAUCCCUGGAGCUGUGGGGUAAGAACUGUCUGUCCCAGUGCCUCUCAGCAGCCCUGUCACUGUGCUGUGGCUAGGAUUUUCGGCAGUUUUUGAGCUUUUCUUGGAAAGCCCCAAGGCCUUUAAGAGAGACUCCUAUAUCUUUGGCCCCUGUCCCUACCCAACCAACUGUUCCCUCUCCGGCUGCCUUGCUCAGGAACUUACUAAGGCUCCCUGUAGCCUCAGGUCGGAAUGCCUCAGGCUACGGCCACUACAUCCCAAAGUCUCAGAGACAGGACAGUAGAGAGGCUAGGGACAUGGGCUCUGGGUUAGCCAGACAUGAGUCCAAAGCCCAGCUCACUGUGUGACCUUGGGGUAUUCACUUCACCUCUUGAACUCCAGUUCCUUCAUCCAGAAAAUGAAAAUAAAUAAAAUCGACAACCUCAAAAUUAAGGAAUUUGCUCAAUAGAACAAGUUUGCCCAAUGGAAGCCAUCACAAAUCAGUUGUUCUCAGAGCGGUCCCUGGACCAUCAGCAUCACCUGGGUACUUGUUAGAAAUGCAAAUUAUUGGCCAGGCACGAUGGCUCAUGCCUGUAAUCCCAGCACUUUGGAUGGCCGAGGAGGGCAGAUACCUGAGGUCAGGAGUUUGAGACCAGCCUGGCCAACAUGGUGAAACCCAAUCUCUACUAAAAAUACAAAAAUUAGACAGGCAUGGUGGCGCAUGCCUGUAAUCCCAGCUACUCAGCAGGCUGAGGCACAGAGGUUGCAGUGAGCUGAGAUUGCGUCACUGCACACCAGCCUGGGUGACAGAGCAAGACUCUGUCCCCCCAAAAAAGAAAAAGCAAAUUUUCAGGCCCUUCCCCUUCUCUUAUGGAGAAUCUCUAGGAGUGGGGCUCAGACAUCUGUGUUUUAGCAAGCCUUCCAGGACAUUCUGAUGCCUGCUGAAGUUUGAGUACUGUCACAGAUAAACUUGACAGAAGGCAAAUAUAUUAGGUGAAUAUACCUGGAACAUCAACAUCCAAAAGGGAUUAAUAUCUAAAAUUUAUAAACUACUCUUGCAAAUCAAUGAGAAAAAGACAGGAAGCCCAGUAGGAAAUGAACAAAAGAUAUGAACAAGGAAGUCACAGAAAGGAAAGCUCAAAUGGCUGACUAGUAUAGAAGGAAGUUAUAAAUUUCAGGAUUAACAGAGAAAUGCAAAUUAAAACAACUUGCCACCUUACACCCACACUGAAUGCAAAGUUACAAAAUCAGAUGAUGAAAAAUCUGAUGAAGAUGUCGGGAAACAGCAUCCUUCACUCACCGUUGGUGAAAGCCAUUCUGGAAGAAGUUAAUGAAAUUCAAAACCUG